UACAAAUCCCCAUAAUCCUGUGCAGCUUCCAUCAGCAAUCAGUGUUUUUUUACACAGAAUUUACCAGAGAAUGCAGUUUCACAACACCUCAGUUUUUCUGAUCAUAUAAAAGAGAAGGUCAGCAGUCAGAGAAGCAUCACAACGUUCCAGAUCUUCUGCUGAGGAAGCAAAGACACAACAGUGUGAAACCAUGCUGAAGUUUGCACUUGUCCUUGGAUGCCUCUUGAGCCUCACUCUGGCUCAACCUAUGGAGCAUCAGAGAGUUGCUCGGUCGAGCUCAAACUCCAACUCAAAUGAGGCCACAACGACUGCAACAACAGCUUCAACCUCCACUCUGACUCAAAUACUUGCUCUCGUCAUACAGCGACUUAUUGCUGGAAGAUAAAGUCUGGGAUGGAAGCAUACAUCAACAAGUGAUUAAGAAAACAUGUCUACUUCAAUGUUUUUGACUUGUUGCUGUCUUGACUGAGUGAAACAACCUUCAUGUCUUUACAGAUUUAAAUAAAUGCAGCAAAUGAAAAUGAAAA